CCAGCUACAUGAAAGUGGCGUGGGCACGAAGGUCAAUGUACGAGAGGGUUCCUGGUACCUGCCGCAUGGAGAGCCAGCUGUACCUGGAGCCGCAACUUUUCAGCCAGCUCACAUGUGCGCGUUGCUACAAGUACAUGCCAAACCUGGCCUUCAAGAACGCCUCUAGGCUGACGUACUGUCGCGGUGGCAGGUUGUGCCGCAGAGAGUGUGGCGGUGAAUGCUUCCAGCCCUAUGGUAACGCAAGCGACGCGAGUAUCGUGGAAACGUUCAAGAAGGGGUUCUACGCCGACCGCUGGAACAGCUGCUGCCUCGCUGCUCGGGAAUGCUGCCGGGAGAUGCUCGAAGACGAGCUGGCUGAUCCAGCCACUGCCAAAGACGGGCUACACUGUCCUGCGACAUGGGACGGCUGGACGUGCUACAAAGACACGCCAGCCGGGAUGACGGUGCAUAAGCCGUGCCCCGCGCACGCGUACUUUAUCACCGAGCAACCGCAGUGCAUCAAGAUGUCGAAGAAAACCUGCUGGGAGAACGGCACAUGGUUCUACAGCCAGGAGUACGGCAAGGAGUAUACUUUCUACGACUGUGGCUCACUUGAGUACCAUCGCUCCAUGACCAUCUUCUCCCUCGUGCUGCACUCGCUGUCAGUAGUCGUCCUGGUGCCCGCCAUCAUCAUAUUCUCCGUCUACAAGCAGCUGCAGGUUCACCGCAUUGCCCUGCACAAGAACUUCUGCGUUGCCAUGGUGCUGUACGACAUCAGCGUGAUCCUGGUGGACUCCGUCUUCAUCUUGGACCACGUGAACGAGGAGAAGAACAUACGCGUCAACGAGAACCCGAACCUAUGCAAGGUUCUCUACACUCUCUCUCGCUACUUCCGGUUGUGCCAGUAUGCCUGGAUGUUCUGCGAGGGCUUCUACCUGCAUAGGCUCAUCACGUCGGCCUUCGCGGAGCAGAAAUCGCUUCUGGUCUUUUACGUCAUCGGCUGGGGUUGCCCCGCAAUAUUCGUCGCCAUGAAUGCAGCCCUGCGAGCCCUGCGAACCGGCCACCCGUGCUGGAUGGACAACAUAGAGGGAUACAACUGGAUAACCCUGGCUCCGGGUCUCUUCUGCCUAUUCGCCAACUUCGUCUUCCUCUGCAACAUCAUUCGCGUUCUCGUCACAAAGCUCAGAAGCACCCAUGCCAGCGAACCUAGUCAGUUUCGGAAAGCCGUACGAGCGGUGCUGGUUUUGUUCCCGCUCUUUGGUAUGCACUUUCUCAUGACUGUGUACAGAAGCCCAGCGAACUGUGGAGCAUGGGAGGUAUAUCAGUAUAUCAGCAAAGCUUCAGAUGGUCUACAGGGAUUCUUUGUAGCUGUCAUAUUCUGCUACUUCAACGGAGAGGUUCAGGGCCAAAUCACGCGCUCCAUAGAACUCGUGAAGCUGGAGUCGUCGCUGGCCAGGGCAUGCGACAGGAGGCGCUCAACGCGAACCCAGGUCCUAGCAUGCUGACGACGCGAGGAGCGCCCAAUGCUCACACUCCGUCCCGUCGCCCGCCGGGUGCCGGCUCUGUCACAUCGGCUAAGUGUAUUCGGCCAGAGCCCCUAUCGGCCUGCACCGCCCCGUGCUGUGCCAUUUACGUCGUUCGCACGGCCGCUAUCGACUGCGACGGGGAUUCUGUAAUCCAACGGGCCGGAGCCUUGCUAUAACCGACUUGUCCGUGUCUACACACGUCUCGCCGAUUCGCGAGUCAAUCAGUCCAAACAACGUCUUCUUCACGAAGUACGCGCGCGUUCUGAACGGUGGCAGCAUCGUUGAAGACAAGAUCUGGAAACGAACACUCAGGUACCUGCGAGUAGCAGCAAUGAUCAUCGUUGCCAGCCCACUUCCCCUGCAUUCACCAGUCAGUGUUACCGAGAAUGUCGUAAUACAAACCAAACCUCUGUCUGAACUGAUGUGACUUCACCGGCAUCGGUUCACAUGUGCAAAACCAACUUUGGUGCGCUCCAUUUACCAAGAACUAUUCUCGUCACGUGCAGCACCUUACGCAUGAAUCCUUCCCUUGGAUUGAGUGGCAGCUAUGAAAUAGACAUGUGCGUUUCAUAAACUAGACCUCAGGACAUUGCGUCGACACCCCAAGUGACUUUUUUUCUUUCUUUAUGCAGACACGUGCAAAUGUAUACACUAAACGUUUUGUGACGUCACUGCACUGACGUCUCACACUGUGCGCCCGCCUGAUUUGGUGUUUCCUUUUCAGCGUAGCUCGUGAAUGGUCUACUGAAUAAACAGCACUAUGCAUAAUAUAGUUAUGACCUGUGUGGCAAAACACCAUAACAUUACUUCGCUGGUGUACAACAAAGCAGCAAUUGAUCAUUUGUGAUCAUCUUGGAAGCAUAUCUUUCGUGAGAACAGUCGGCCAGCACUUUACUUAAAAAGUAGAAUUGAACCCAGCAUGUAUUGAUUCUUUCGCCCUGCAAUAACCAAUUUUACAUAGAAGCUCUCCAUUUCUUCAAGACAGUCUAUCUUGGCAAAGAAUACGUAAACUAUAAAGACUGAGGCACCUGUUCCGUCUACUUCUGUCAUAUCAACGUCAUCAGGCCGUAAUAAGCGGUAAAUUUGUUGUAACAGUUCUGCGAUGCAGUUAAUUUAUUUUGGAAUAAUUAUCAUGCGUGUUUAUUGCAACAACACUUGAGCACUCUCAACAGCUCAAACCUUGUCUGUAAGGCAGGGAAUGCUUGGGAAGUAUUAGAAGUCAGCAUGCUAAAACGGACACAAAUAUCGAAUUGCCGAGAGGCACCUAAAAAUAAUUAUGCUUACACGUUUUAGGCUAGUUUGAUUACCUUAAGGAUUUUGGUGUAAGUCUUAACUGCCGUUAAUAAGAUGAUGAAGGGCUAAUCUCCCGUCUAUACUGGGGCAUCGGAACAAUAGUUAAUUACAAUGGCGGGGAAUAUUUGCAGCACACAGCUGCCUCUGGAGUGUGGUCCAUAUACCAACACGUCACGAGGCCGUGAGCAGAGGCUUCGAUGUAGGCUCUAUUCGCUCGAAACGUUUCUAAAUAAUAACAUUUCGAAAGCGUCAUAUAGGUAUUCGUGGUUUGCCAAAAUGAGCAUUUACUGAAGUCCCUUGAGACCAGGCAUACUGUUAUAGCCCACCUGAAAGAAGCAUGUAGGUCAAAGCUCGAUAGCUGAACGUGCAAGCCGACGUCUUGUGUGUGCUUCAGCGCAUUCUUCUCAUGAAACAAAACGGCCUA